rnacentral:rRNA from 1 species
ACACUCCUACGGGAGGCAGCAGUGGGGAAUAUUGGACAAUGGGCGCAAGCCUGAUCCAGCCAUGCCGCGUGAGUGAUGAAGGCCCUAGGGUUGUAAAGCUCUUUCACCGGUGAAGAUAAUGACGGUAACCGGAGAAGAAGCCCCGGCUAACUUCGUGCCAGCAGCCGCGGUAAUACGAAGGGGGCUAGCGUUGUUCGGAUUUACUGGGCGUAAAGCGCACGUAGGCGGACUAUUAAGUCAGGGGUGAAAUCCCGGGGCUCAACCCCGGAACUGCCUUUGAUACUGGUAGUCUUGAGUUCGAGAGAGGUGAGUGGAAUUCCGAGUGUAGAGGUGAGAUUCGUAGAUAUUCGGAGGAACACCAGUGGCGAAGGCGGCUCACUGGCUCGAUACUGACGCUGAGGUGCGAAAGCGUGGGGAGCAAACAGGAUUAGAAACCCUUGUAGUCCCA